CCUCAGAUCCACGGAGCGCUCCCUCCCCACCCACGCCUCCUCAGAUCCUCCGCAGCAGGCCAGCGAGCGGCGACCCCCAGGCGCUCCAUGGCAGGUCCACGCACUGCACAGGGGCUACACGGAGGGCGGCGGCUCGACGCCGCUAGCGCGCAGCUCCGUCUUCGCGAGGCAUCCAGACCCCUGGUUGCAGUUCCCCUGAUGAUGAAGGCAUCCUUGUCGAUGGAACGGAUGAUGUGCAGGAGGAAGAUGGUAUUGCUGCUGUAAUCCCAUGAUUGUACUGCAUGAUCGGAAGUUCACUGUGAGUAUGCAGUUACACUCUUGGAUCAGGAUAACUACAUAGCUACAUGCAAAAGCCAUGUGAGUGAACCUCAAAUGCAAUCUAACAGACAACUUUAGCAGUCUCCGAUCAGGAAAACAGGGGCUGUCUAACUUAUGUUUGCUGUAUGCCUGAAAUCUUUUAGGUGAAGUUAUAUAUCAUGCGUUGAUGUUUCAGUCCAUGUUAUAAUCUAUAUACUUGGAUAAAUAUUAUGUCCAUUUUAAGUUAAACCUGUGGUGAGAUGUGUGUGGUCCUAUUGCUAAGUACAAAGCAUUGUGUUGUGUUACUUUUGAUUCAACUAAUACCAGCACAGUAUAACUUUGAUAGAAAUUCAGGCAUUGUGGUUUGGGUGAUGGCUCAUGUUAAAGAAAAUUAGCUAAGUAUUCUUUUAUUCUGUCCUAUGCAAAGUAAUUUCGUUACUGCAUGGUGCUUCAUUCUAAAUGAUUAAUGGUUGGUAGAAUCUUAUGUGAUCAGAAUGAUUAAACUUAUGUUAUCCUGCACAUAACUUGCUGAUUUUUGCAACUGCAAUACCUUUAUAGCAUGGAUAAAUACAUGCUUGUUUUAACAACGCUGCUCCUUUUCUUGUGAUAACUUGUGCAGGAUUGGCUUGGCACAGACUUUGCAAUUGCCGAAGCUGUCAAUUUCGUAGUAGAAUCAGAGAGGCAGGGUUCAACAACACUUAGAAAAUGGAUGACCAACAAUGUGAGCUAGAAGAUCUGAAGUAGCAAGGGAGAAUCAAUGGGGAGAGAUUGGAAGUUUGAAGAAGCAAGGAGAGGAAAGCAAUGCUCUUCUUUGCUGCUUGUUAUGCCUCAACAGGGAGUAAGUCCUUGACUACUUCUAGGUUCAUGAUGUGGUCUAUUUAUUUUGCUACAUGUGCUUGGAUAGUUGUUUCGGCUCUACGGUGGCUGGUAUAUACUUUUUGGCUAUGAGUCCAUAGAGUUAUCUUGGCUGUUUAGUGAACCUGUUAUGGAAUGGAGUGACUUGUCUUUUU